rnacentral:rRNA from 1 species
GACGAACGCUGGCGGCGUGCUUAACACAAGCAAGUCGAACGGAAAGGCCCUGCUUUUGUGGGGUGCUCGAGUGGCGAACGGGUGAGUAACACGUGAGUAACCUGCCCUUGACUUUGGGAUAACUUCAGGAAACUGGGGCUAAUACCGGAUAGGAGCUCCUGCUGCAUGGUGGGGGUUGGAAAGUUUCGGCGGGUGGGGAUGGACUCGCGGCUUAUCAGCUUGUUGGUGGGGUAGUGGCUUACCAAGGCUUUGACGGGUAGCCGGCCUGAGAGGGUGACCGGCCACAUUGGGACUGAGAUACGGCCCAGACUCCUACGGGAGGCAGCAGUGGGGAAUAUUGCACAAUGGGCGGAAGCCUGAUGCAGCAACGCCGCGUGCGGGAUGACGGCCUUCGGGUUGUAAACCGCUUUCGCCUGUGACGAAGCGUGAGUGACGGUAAUGGGUAAAGAAGCACCGGCUAACUACGUG